GGAAGAGUACAAAUGGAAAAUUGACGGGUGUUGGCUCGUUGAGUUGUCAUUUAGGAGCGUCAGUUCGGAGUGGUCCCUCGAGGUUUUCCAAUAAGUCUUCUGGAAAGGAGCGCCAGAGAAGGUGAGAGCCCUGUGAUUGGAGAUUGCGUGACGAAGCGGGGGAGAGAACGAGAAGUGGCGUGGUAGGAGUAGAGCUUCUUGGGAUUGAAGCUCGAAGGGGCAGGGGCACUCCUGCUAAUGCUAAAUAUGAGUUGUAAACCGAUAGAGAACAAGUACUGUGAAGGAAAGAUGAAAAGGACCGCUGGCGCGGAGUGAAAAGAACCUGAAACCGGACAAGGGGAACCGAAGGAAAGG
rnacentral:rRNA from 1 species